CGCAAUUCUCCGUCUAGAUCUCGCUGGCCGUGACCUCACGGAUUCCCUCAUGAAGAUCCUCACUGAGAGAGGCUACACCUUCACCACAACAGCAGAACGGGAAAUUGUUAGGGACAUCAAAGAGAAGCUGGCGUAUGUUGCUCUCGACUAUGAGCAGGAGCUUGAGACUGCCAAGAGCAGCUCCUCCGUGGAGAAGAGCUACGAGCUGCCUG
rnacentral:misc_RNA from 1 species